AAUGCACCAAUUUGUAAGUCGCUCUGGAUAGCAGCGUCUGCUAAAUGACUUAAA
rfam:Salmo salar isolate Sally breed double haploid chromosome ssa06, whole genome shotgun sequence.